GCCGAAAUAGCUCAGUUGGGAGAUUUAGACUGAAGAUCUAAAGGUCCCUGGUUCAAUCCCGUGUUUCGGCA